rnacentral:snRNA from 1 species
CUAAAAUAUCAUCUGGCAAAU